rnacentral:rRNA from 1 species
UACGUAGGGUGCGAGCGUUGUCCGGAAUUAUUGGGCGUAAAGGGCGCGUAGGCGGCCUGCUAAGUCGAACGUGAAAUCCCUGGGCUCAACCCCAGGAACUGCGUCCGAUACUGGUUGGCUUGAAUCCGGGAGAGGGACGUGGGAAUUCCAGGUGUAGCGGUGAGAUGCGUAGAUAUCUGGAGGAACACCGGUGGCGAAGGCGGC